rnacentral:rRNA from 1 species
GACAGAGGUGCCGAGCGUUAGGCGGAAUCACUGGGAUUAAAGCGUGUGUAGGCGGCCCGUUAAGUGUCCCGUGAAAUCCCCCGGCUCAACCGGGGAACCGCGGGGCAUACUGGCGGGCUUGGGUCGCUCAGGGGCAAGCGGAACAGGCGGUGGAGCGGUGAAAUGCGUAGAUAUCAGGAGGAACACCGGUGGCGAAGGCGGGUCUCUGGGCCGAUACUGACACUGAGGAGCGAAAGCGUGGGGAGCGAACAGG